AGUGGGAGUCCUUGGUCCAGCCGCCAGCUCCCCUCCCCCGCCACGUGUUUUCGGAUGUUACGGGACUCGCUUGUAUUUCAUUGCUAAAGUUUGUCUGUUUCCAGGAGUUAUCACUCCUUAGUUUUUAUUAGUUCUGAGCCGCGGAGAUGAAAAGGUUUUACUUGAAAAAAGAAUCUGAUUAUCUGUUUAAGAAUUUUUAAAAAUGCAUCUUUCCCUUAUUGCUACCUCCCCCCCUUUUUUAACCUGCCCCUCCCUUCCACGUAUUGAGUAUAUUUCUUAUUUACUUAGAAUCCGAGAAUGACGUGCUAUUUUGAGCUACAAGGCCAAAUCCGCCAUCAUCGUUUAGAAGUCCUUAAAUGGGCUCUUGUCUGAGAGAUGACUUUGCACAUAUCAGGUGUUCCAUAAAUGUUCCUUUUCCGUCAUUGGCAGAAGCCUUGUCUCAGGUUGCCGAAACGUGUGGGCCGUGUUUCGGUUGUUAGAUCCUAUACUACUCUACUUUUAAACUUCUCAAAUUAUGCCCUUGUAUGAUUUCUGCAGCCGACUAAAGCCGACUGAAACAGCUCUGCCUGUUCUGUCCACUCUGAUUCUGUCAUCCAUUCUGGUUUUGAUCAAAAGGUUCUUAAUCUCCCACUAAGGCUGCGGUUUUCACCAACUCCGCUGGAAGGGACCAUGUCGGGAUCGCUUACAUUUUAGCUUAGUAGCAAACACCUCUGCAAAGGGCAGUUUUGUCACGAACGUGCUCAGUCUUGAAUCACAUACUUUUUCUGAAAGUUGGGUUGCCAAUAAUUACAGAGCUGUGGUUGGUGGCGUAGUAAUUCCUACCUGGUGAGCUGGUUCUGUGAGAACCAUUGUUGCCCAACCAGAGCUGCAGAUGCUGCAACCUACUAGUGGAUUUUUGUCUACUCAACCUGCCAAGCUUGGCCAGAGAAACGGAAAGAUCUUGGAACCGUGUAGGAGAUGGACAAUUUCUCUGCAGAUAGAGAUGGAGGUCCUGGCAUCAGGAGCUUAAGGAAGCUGCUCAAGUUGAAUCCAUACUCAGGAAACACAGAGGAAGGUGAUCCAACCCGAGGCCAAGGGAAGAAAACACAGAAGCGUCACUUCUGAGAACUUCCCUGUUUUCCUCCGCAUCUCCUUUGGGAACUGCUUUUCAUUUUGACCUUUUGCUAUAAUAAAAUUGUGUGUAGUUUUUUCCUGAA